rnacentral:rRNA from 1 species
CAGUAGCCGCGGGAAUACGGAGGGGGCUAGCGUUGUUCGGAAUUACUGGGCGUAAAGCGCACGUAGGCGGCUUGGUAAGUUAGAGGUGAAAGCCCGGGGCUCAACCCCGGAAUUGCCUUUAAGACUGCCGAGCUAGUAGGUGAGAGAGGUGAGUGGAAUUCCGAGUGUAGGGGUGAAAUUCGUAGAUAUUCGGGAGAACACCAGUGGCGAAGGCGGCUCACUGGCUCAUUCUAGACGCUGAGGUGCGAAAGCGUGGGGAGCAAACAGGAUUAGAUACCCCCGUAGUCCCUGUCUCUUAUAC